CUUUAACUCUGGGUGUCAGCUAUUUCUCCUCAGAGAGAAAAGUAACUAAGGCAAGCAUGCUCUCUUUGCUGAGUGUGAUGGCACCUGCCUGUAGUCCUGUCUUUACCAGUUUUGAUAAAAAAAAAAAUAUGGCAAAUGCUGCUGCCAAGUAACAUCCAACAGCAAAUCAGGCUUAUAAAAUGUGAUACUGUGUCCUCCUCCACCUUGUUCCCAGGCCUGGCAUCAUGCGGCUUCUGACUCUUCCCCAGACUGAAAAUAACCAUGACAGCCAUGAUGGAGCAACUUUAGGCACUCAUGAAAGAAGACUCUCAGAACUGCUUCAGAAAGUGGCAAGAACGAUGGGGAAGUGGAACACCUUUUCUAAGCUUCCUGCUAAACAUCAUCCCUUCACCUAUGUAGUAAACAUGCACGAAGCACAUCGUGGAACCUGGCUACAUGAUAAAGAACAAGAAAACAUGGUCAGCGGCCCAGCACCACUGCAGCGCUGUGCAAAGACCCAGUGUCACUGUGACCAGGUGAGUCACAUGCAGCCUGGGAGCCACACUGCCAACCCCCCAGCAACACGCAG
rnacentral:lncRNA from 1 species